UACAGAGGUCCCGAGCGUUGUUCGGAAUUACUGGGCGUAAAGCGCGUGUAGGCGGGUCUUUAAGUCAGGGGUGAAAUGCCAAGGCUCAACCUUGGAAUUGCCUUUGAUACUGGAGAUCUUGAGUCCGGGAGAGGUGAGUGGAACUGCGAGUGUAGAGGUGAAAUUCGUAGAUAUUCGCAAGAACACCAGUGGCGAAGGCGGCUCACUGGCCCGGAACUGACGCUGAGACGCGAAAGCGUGGGGAGCAAACAGG
rnacentral:rRNA from 1 species